UCCACUUUGACGACUCCUGAUUAAUAAAGGGACUAAGCUGAAAAUGAAGGAAUGAAUACUAAGUGUUCCGUAGGCUGCAUAGAAAUGAUAAACCUUGAGCCUCAAACAACAAGGUUCCUUCUCUUUAUUUAAAUCUUGUUUAAACAACAGACCACAGAAAAAAUAUAUGAAAAAACUCACUGUUGCACAACACCCCUAGUAUCUGGAUCAUAAUAAGCAGCGUUUGAGUGGCUACAACGUUUCCUAGUAAAAUGACAACAAUGCUGAACAUGUUUCUUCAUGGUGGGACUCUUAUUUUGAAAACCGGACACAGCUCGUCGAAGAAUGCUUGGAAAAGGUGGAUGUCUGUUUGUUCAGCGGCAUCCUGAGGAUGCAUAAGAGUACAUACUGCUGUGUGAGUGACUGAUGUGAGCCACAUGAGCCUCAGAGCAGAAUAUUCAUGACCCUUCUAAAUAAGAAUCAGCUCCACCAAUUUGAGGAUUGCAAGAACUGAAGUAUGCAAGCUAUAUGUAGAAAUCACAUCAUUUUACUGUACCUCUACCCAGACCAUCAGUACACCCAGGAAUCUGCUGAUACUGGGUGGAAUCCAUGCAACCUUCAACUCUGACAAGGUUUCCGGUACCUGUGCCUGCCACACAUCCCCACAGCAUGAUAGACCCUCCUUCAUAUUUGAUUUUUGAAAAGUGUACCAUGGACAGUGACAUUAUCAGCAGCAAGAUGUUCUUGGAGCUCUUUGGAGGUGGUCUGUGGUUUGUCUGUGAUUAUUCUAACCGUUCUUCACUUUUGCUUUUAGAUAAUUGUCUUGGUCUAGCACAUCUUUCCUUCACAAGAUCUGUUCCGGUGGCCUUCCAUUUUCCUACUGUAUUUCUGACUGUGGAGAUAGAGACUUGAAACCUUUCUGAUAGCUUUUUGCAUCCUUCUAAUUCAUGUUGGUGAUUUUCCUAGUUUUUAGGUGAUUAGGAAGUUCUUUUGAGGUUCCCAUGUUGCUACUUUCAGGUUCACAAUAAAGAGAAGCACAACAAGC